AGUAAAGUGGCGUACGGGUGAGUAACACGUGGAUCAUCUACCCUCUUGUGGGGGGAUAACCCUGGGAAACCGGGGCUAAUACCGCAUAAGCUCGAGAGAGGAAAGCAGCAAUGCGCAGGAGGAGGAGUCCGCGGCCGAUUAGCUAGUUGGUAGGGUAAAAGCCUACCAAGGCUACGAUCGGUAGCCGGCCUGAGAGGGCACACGGCCACACUGGCACUGAAACACGGGCCAG
rnacentral:rRNA from 1 species